rnacentral:rRNA from 1 species
GACGAACGCUGGCGGCGUGCUUAACACAUGCAAGUCGAACGGAAAGGCCCUGCUUUUGUGGGGUGCUCGAGUGGCGAACGGGUGAGUAACAUGUGAGUAACCUGCCCUUGACUUUGGGAUAACUUCAGGAAACUGGGGCUAAUACCGGAUAGGAGCUCCUGCUGCAUGGUGGGGGUUGGAAAGUUUCGGCGGGUGGGGAUGGACGCGCGGCUUAUCAGCUUGUUGGUGGGGUAGUGGCUUACCAAGGCUUUGACGGGUAGCCGGCAUGAGAGGGUGACCGGCCACAUUGGGACUGAGAGACGGCCCAGACUCCUACGGGAGGCAGCAGUGGGGAAUAUUGCACAAUGGGCUGAAGCCUGAUGCAGCAACGCCGCGUGCGGGAUGACGGCCUUCGGGUUGUAAACCGCUUUCGCCUGUGACGAAGCGUGAGUGACGGUAAUGGGUAAAGAAGCACCGGCUAACUACGUG